AUGCAGGCCUAAAAGUAGCCUGAGGCUUGCUGUUGGGUGGGGCCACUCCCUAGGGCAGGCUGCCUGCCCUGGCUGAACUGGAUUAAAUCUGUGCUCUAGUGGGCGUGGCAGACCCCUGGGCUAACAGGCCAAGGGAAGAACCUCAAUGGCGCCCACCAGGGUCCCUGUCAGCACGCCUGGGCCAGCUCAGAACAACGGCCCCACCAAUGUCUCAGUCUCAGGAGAGGAUCCUCCUCUCACCAAGAUGCCCCCAGAGCCCACCAGGACGCCUGCCACAGCAUGGCUUUUGCCAAGUGGUGCCAUGUCCGCACCCGGGAUCAGAACUGGAGAACCCCAGGCCGCCGAAGCAGAGCGUGUGCACUUAACCGCUGGGCCACCAGGCCAGCCCCAAAUGGAGGAAUUUUGGACUGAGUGUUCAGAGGAAGAUUAGCCCUGAGCUGACAUCUGCAGCCAAUCCUCCUCUUUUUGCUGAGGAAAUUUGGCCCUGAGCUAACAUCCAUGCUCAUCUUCCUCUAUUUUGUAUGUGGGAUGCCUGCUACAGGAUUGCUUGGUCUCUCAAGAUUCAAAAUAAAGUUAACUAAAGCUACAUUUCCUUGGUUCAGCACCACCCACAGCAUUUUAGACAGGGUAGUCAAUUUAAAUUUCCUGGGGAUUCACUCACUGAACCCAUGUGCUGAUGAUCAGUCACUUGGACUAUAUGUCAGCAUAUGUCAUGUCCUCUUCUGCUCUCUCCAGGCAUUGCAUGUGGAGCCAUUGAGGCCUGGUUGCUAUGGAAAUUUCCUCCACCAUUCCAAAGGCAAAUGGGGUGCCAUAUCAACCAAUAAAGAGUCAUCAAAUUUAACUGGGACAAAUACGUUUCUUCCAAAAUUGUGAAUCAAAUUUACAAAGCUGCGUAGUGUUAGGCUUUCAGUUGAUUAUAGACACUUCAAUGAUGGUUUUACUUUACCUAUGUAGGUAUGCCUGUGGGAUAGCACCACGUCCUGGAAAUCCUGGCGGGAAUCUGAAAGAUCUAGUAUAAAGGUAAUGCAUAACAUGUGUCAGACUGCAAUGACAAGUGCCCUUCCUCUUUCAUAGUUAACUGAUCCUUGCAUCAAGUAUAUGCUCAACUUCCUCUUUCAUUCAAAAGAGAUUUGUAUCAGGAGAUUUCUAAGUGCCUCACACACGCAGGUCCUUAGUUGACCCACUAUGAGAAUUCUCUAGGUGUGUUUGCAUGUAUUUAAUUUACAAGACAUGCAAAUCUGAGUCUGUGUCUCUGGAACCCCCACUGCACUCUUAAUUUGGUAAUGAGACUGCUGAUUCUGUAUGCUAAUUUACACUCUGUUUUAUCUCAUCCUACUCAAAAUACAAAGACCUUAUUUAAACUAAUUACUUAAAUGAUGUAUUUAUUUUGGAAUGUGUAGAGUUGUGAAAUUUCAGUAGAAAUAAAUCUUUAUUGAAAAUAACCUUGUAAGAGUUUGAAAGGAAUUUGUUUUCCUUUGAAUGUUUAAUUCCCAUUAA
rnacentral:lncRNA from 1 species